rnacentral:lncRNA from 7 species
CAGAUUUUCUUACAAUAGCUGUGCGGAUGAGUGGGAUUGCAUUUUGGGACUCCUACAUCUGGGAACACUGCGGGAAAACAUAAUUAUGGAAGUCCUAGUCUUACCUUGGCUGGUACAGCCCUGCCUUAGAUGCUGUGUGACAACACUGAUUUUUCAUGAAGAGGAACACGUUUUAAUUGUACUGAAUGCUAGUCAAGUGGGAGCGUUCUCAGCAACCAUGACCUCAUAGCACAGAACGGUGAAUGGCAGUCAGCAGAGUUUUGAACUUUGUGGAAAGGUGAAAGAAGCUAUUUUUCAAAUAGCCGAUGAUUCAGUUGGGUUAUGAAACAUCUGGCAUAGUGUUCUACACUUAGCCAUUCACACAAAUUGGAGAACUAUCUCAUCUCCAUCCUGCCUGAGAAAUAUGUCUCCUUUAACAGAAAACAUUCAUGUGUACUUAGGGGACUGUGGUCACGCUUCAUUAAAGGUCAUGACAAAUUGUUUUUCCAUAAUUUGUUUCUGAAGUCCCAUGAUAUUUAGUUUAUCUUCCAAACUGAGUAGAAGAGUUAUAGAUCUUCUUUAGAGUCUUUGUAAAUUGCUCUGAAAUGCAAUAUGCUCAGAUAAGAAAUUUGUAAAUGGGAUAAGUCUGAUGUGGAUGCUGGUAUGGAUUCUCUGUCAGGGUAACCUCAGAAGGAACCUUGAUCCCCACGCUAAUAGGGCUGCAGUCAGCAGUGUGGGGCUAUCCGCUAGCAGAGGGGAGCUUCAGUAGCAAAAAGGGGCAAAACAGAUCAGGUGUUGUACAGUUUCAAUAAGAAAUAUUUAUUAAAAGAAUGUAUAUUAAA